rnacentral:rRNA from 1 species
CGAACGCUGGCGGCGUGCUUACCACAUGCAAGUCGAACGGAAAGGCCCUGCUUGCAGGGUACUCGAGUGGCGAACGGGUGAGUAACACGUGGGUGAUCUGCCCUGCACUUCGGGAUAAGCCUGGGAAACUGGGUCUAAUACCGGAUAGGAGCCAUUUUUAGUGUGAUGGUUGGAAAGUUUUUUCGGUGUAGGAUGAGCUCGCGGCCUAUCAGCUUGUUGGUGGGGUAAUGGCCUACCAAGGCGGCGACGGGUAGCCGGCCUGAGAGGGUGGACGGCCACAUUGGGACUGAGAUACGGCCCAGACUCCUACGGGAGGCAGCAGUGGGGAAUAUUGCACAAUGGGCGCAAGCCUGAUGCAGCGACGCCGCGUGGGGGAUGACGGCCUUCGGGUUGUAAACUCCUUUCGCUAGGGACGAAGCUUUUUGUGACGGUACCUAGAUAAGAAGCACCGGCUAACUACGU